ensembl:lincRNA
UCAACUUAUAGGAAAGGCAUGAUAAAGAGAUUAUCUCAUGUUUGAAUACCCUUUUCUUUAAUUUUUGGAUUAGCUCUCUUCCCCCACCAACUCGCAAUCUUUCUGUUCUAACCACAGGCACUUUUGGCAGCCAUGAAUUCUUAUUCUGGGCAACAGGAGUGGCUCCACAGAUGAUGAGUCUAUGGCCUGUUAUACAUGGAGCUCUUGCAAGCAAGUCCUGGUGACCACAAGGUGUCUUUGUCCAUUAUUGAGCAUCAUAAAUAUCCAGACGCACAGAUGCUUCCUGAUAUGUCCAUGAGUUUAAAGAUUGGACAUUACUUCGCCCAGCAAUCCUCGUUUUCAAACUUGCCAAGCCAGUCCUUGGAGAGACUAGGAAAUCCAGAGUUUCCUACAAGAAUGGGGAUUCCUUGGAAGAGAGUUUCACCUUGAAUCAAGAAAGAGGAAUCACAUACUUUCAAAGGAAAUUUCUCAUGAUCUCAAGAUCUCAAGAACCAGGGGCAGAAGGAAAAGCUGGGCUGACACAAUGGUGGUGGUCCUGUCUCCAUUCAAAAAGCUACCACUGCCUCUAGACCCUCUCAGGAUGGCAACAUUUCCUGAUUCCAAUCCUAAAAUAGGCAAAGUUGGGAGGGUGCAAACUUCUCCAUUCUGUGUCAGACAUGUCUUAGGGAAAACCCAAAUAUGAAUGACCAAAGAAAAGUAUGAGAAAAAAUUGAAAAUCUAUUCUAGGCUAUUCACAGUGUUUUGCUGGUAUCCUGGGAUCCACAUGCAUUUCAAGAAGACUGAAGUGUGCCAGGCCUGCAGGACAAUGAAGAGUGAAUGUCUUAGUCCUAGACUAUGGCCUGUCCAUUCAGGUUCAUGAUACAGAAUUGUCUUUAAAAGAUGACUUGCCAGAGUCAGACAUCAAUGAAGAGUACUACAUGCAGAAUAUAGGCGAGCAAUUAUGGACUCUGAUGGAACAUGGUCAGUUGGCCUGCUGGAGAGAGUCACAUAUACCAGUGACAUGCUGCUCAAACUGGCGCAGACCACAUGCUACUACCAAAGGAAUACGCACAUUUGCUCCUUCUGAGUGAAAGGAGAAUGUGAGGGAGAAGAGGAGGGUCCAUACAGACAUGAGAAGCCUACAGAUCCAGAUGAUCACCUUGCUGAUAAGAAUAUUAAAGACUGAAUCCAAUAUUAUGGAAUCAAUGACCCCGGAGCAGAUAAGCCUCUAAAGCAGGCUUCACCAUACCUUGUCUGGAUCCACCAGAGGACAAGGUUAUCACCACACUCUAUGUUGGUGAUCUCGGUGAUGCCAUUACUGAGACAGAUCUAAAUAAUCAUUUCUAAUUAUUUGACGAUCUGAAUGAUCACUGUUGUGCAGACAGUAGAGUGCUUUCCAUCCAGGUUUCCACAGGGCAGGCUGCAGAAGUGGCUGCUGAGAAAUCCUUUAAUAAGUUGAUUGUCAAGGGCUGCAGACUCGGUAGAAAACGGAGAGGAUCCCAAGCAGCCAGAGGAAAAGAAAAAGGACAGAACCGCAGGCUGGGAUCCAGCUAACGCCUAUUCCAGCACUGCCAGGAACAGGAACUCUUCCUCCUCCUGCAGCAGCAGCAGAUGUAUCUGCCAACCACAGCAACAUACCCCCACGUGCUCCUCCAGCUGUGGUGAGCAUUGCCUGGCCACCAGCCCCUGGCGUGUCCUGCUGCUCCCCCCAGGAUUUCAGCCACCCAUGUUCCAUCCAAUGGGACCAUUGCCUUCCUUUUGAGAGGACUCUAGGAUCAAUCCAUUGUGUUGGAUCCUGUGUUGGACUCCAGGAUCAAUCCAUCUGAGGACCCCCAGAGGAUGGGAGCUUGUUCUGGAAAUCACAGCAGCCCCUGUCAUAUUUUCACCACCCUGUGGUUCUAUGGAAGAAGCAUCACUUUAAAAUCUCAAUUAAUGAACAUUGGAGGAAAUAUUUUUUUCUUUCUUUGUGGUUCCCAGUGCACCUGAAUGUGGUCACAUAUGGGCAUGCUUUUUCAUAUGGAUUCAAAGGAUCAAUGGAGCUCAAAUAAGCUGUCAUUAAAACAUCUGUUUACUAUGACUGUAACAUGACUAAUAAAACCUACUGCCUGUUCCUCUCACCUCUAUGGGGGAUGAGUGGCUGAGUGAGUUAUAGAAUGUCCAAUGGAGUUAGCAGUCCAAUCAUAUAAUCAUUUUGUCUCUUUUUAUGACUGUGGAAAUAGACCUGAGGGGAAAAAAAAACCUUUUGAACAUGUUUG